rnacentral:lncRNA from 1 species
ACAUUAAUGAUGGAUUCUUAUACAAAUUCGAAAUACACAUAAAAAAGAGAAUGAGAGAGAGAGAGAGAGAGCGCACAACAUUUGAUGCUACAAGUACAACGAGGUCCGCCCUAAUGGAACUUGAGGCUGGUCAGCACAUUGUUGUUGACCGGAUCGGCCAAAUGGUCUAGAAGGUUCUGGAAGGGGCCCACACCGGUGACCAACCCUUGUAUAAAGUAUCCCAAAACAGCCAACAUAGCCAAUCUCCCAUUCUUCACUUCCUUGAGCUUCAGCUCCUUCAUCGACUUCUCGUCUUUCCCAAACCCUAACGGGUUGAAAAACGGGCCACCCGGGUAAGCGGGUUCGCCCGACCCGCUGAAGCCCUUUUCUAGGCCCAGGAAGUACUGCUUACCCAUGGAUCCAGGAUUGUACCAAUCCUGGAGCCUCCGGUGCUCGGCGAAGCCCAUUAGGGCCAUCUCGAGGACGAACAACGUGUAGCCGUCGGCCCAGUAGUUGUAUGUUCCGGCCGGGGGAAUCACCCCUGUCUGGAACCAGGGGAGAGCGGUCUCUGGUGGGAUCAGACCGGCUUUCCCCAGGAUUUCGGGGGCGAUGGCACCCGCCGCCCCCAACAUGGCGAAACGGCCGUUGAUGAUCUCCCCGUACGCUAGCCAUUUCGGCUCGAUGAACCCUCCGGUGCCUUCUGGGUCGGAUAGGCCCAACGGGUCGAAUCCGAAGUCACCUGGGAGGCUGAGAAAGUAAUGAUUUGUUAUUUUUGUUUUGGGAAAAUUGUAAUUUUACAUGCAAUAAGUUUACAGAGCUAUCAUUUUUGGUCCUAUUUAAAAUAUUCGUCAUAUUCUAUCAAGGCCAAAAUUAAAUGUCAAAUUUAUAAAUUUUAAUCGUCUAUAUAAGCAAGACCCGUCAAAUUUAUCUGUUGCGUCAUAAAAUUUAAAAAUCAUGCGAAAUAGGACCAAAAAUACUAUACUUGUAAAGUUAUUGCAUGUAAAAUAGAAACAUGGUAAAUUAGAGGACUAAAUCCAUAAUCAUACCGAUUCUUUUCCCUAUUAUUUUCAUUGUAAGAAUUUCGAAUUAAAUAAUAAUAAAAAAAAUCAGAGGCAAGAGAGUUUAAAUUAAUUACCUGCCAUCCAAGUAGGAAAGGCUCUGCUUAGAUGCAAACCAUAGGGGCCUGUUACCUCCUUGCUGAAACAAUAACAAAAUAAAAUAAAAUAUUAAUCAUAAUUUUCAUGCAUUAAAAAAAAACAUUAUUCAGACAAUAUGUCUGAAAAAUAAUUAAUAAGAAGGGUAUUUUAGUAUUUAUUAUGUUAUUUUUAUAAUCUAUCCAUAUUUACUGACUAUCUGAAUAUACGCGCAACUACCCAAAACU